GUUGUGAGAUUUUUUGAGGACAACGCGUUGGUGAGCUCGGAUAGUGAUUUGGGGUCUCCGUUUGAGCGGGGCAGCGUUUUGAGGACGUUCGGAAAGGGAAAGUUCCGGAGAAGUGAUUUUGGAGCGCGUGUGAUUGGCCUACAGGUCCGGGCACUAGUAGCCAGCGUUGAUCGAGCUUGGAGCAGACUGAUUCGGAGACAGAAGUGAUCACACG